CCUACGGGGUGCAGCAGUGGGGAAUAUUGGACAAUGGGCGAAAGCCUGAUCCAGCCAUGCCGCGUGUGUGAAGAAGGCCUUCGGGUUGUAAAGCACUUUCAGUGGGGAAGAAAGCCUUGGGGCUAAUACCCUCGAGGAAGGACAUCACCCACAGAAGAAGCACCGGCUAACUCCGUGCCAGCAGCCGCGGUAAUACGGAGGGUGCGAGCGUUAAUCGGAAUUACUGGGCGUAAAGCGCGCGUAGGCGGUCUGAUAAGCCGGUUGUGAAAGCCCCGGGCUCAACCUGGGAACGGCAUCCGGAACUGUCAGGCUAGAGUGCAGGAGAGGAAGGUAGAAUUCCCGGUGUAGCGGUGAAAUGCGUAGAGAUCGGGAGGAAUACCAGUGGUGAAGGCGGUCUUCUGGACUGACACUGACGCUGAGGUGCGAAAGCGUGGGUAGCAAACAGGAUUAGAUACCCUUGUAGUC
rnacentral:rRNA from 1 species